GAUGAACGCUGGCGGCGUGCCUAAUACAUGCAAGUCGAGUGAACAGACGAGGAGCUUGCUCCUCUGACGUUAGCGGCGGACGGGUGAGUAACACGUGGAUAACCUACCUAUAAGACUGGGAUAACUUCGGGAAACCGGAGCUAAUACCGGAUAAUAUAUUGAACCGCAUGGUUCAAUAGUGAAAGACGGUUUUGCUGUCACUUAUAGAUGGAUCCGCGCCGCAUUAGCUAGUUGGUAAGGUAACGGCUUACCAAGGCAACGAUGCGUAGCCGACCUGAGAGGGUGAUCGGCCACACUGGAACUGAGACACGGUCCAGACUCCUACGGGAGGCAGCAGUAGGGAAUCUUCCGCAAUGGGCGAAAGCCUGACGGAGCAACGCCGCGUGAGUGAUGAAGGUCUUCGGAUCGUAAAACUCUGUUAUUAGGGAAGAACAAAUGUGUAAGUAACUAUGCACGUCUUGACGGUACCUAAUCAGAAAGCCACGGCUAACUACGUG
rnacentral:rRNA from 1 species